rnacentral:lncRNA from 10 species
GUAGAACACUUGUGUCUGGGUCUGGAAACCAAGGGAAGGAAGUUGGAUGGCUUUGUUUACUGUCAAUCUCAAUGAAGUACUUGGUGAAUGUGUGCUCUUCUCACCUACAAUUCUAGCCUUUGCAGGUUUAGAUGUCCUAGUUCGGAUGACCAGAGAACAUAGAAAAUAUCCCAUUAAAUUCUAACCUGUUGCCACAACUUGGUCACCUUGGAUUCCUUGUGCAGAGACUACCAGGAAGCAAGGAACUGAGGGAGGCAGGAAUUACAGACGAAGACCUAGAUCAAUGCAUGGAUGAGUGGGCAGAAAGAACCUGUUGGGCAAUUAUGCCAGUAAUCUACCUCUUGCAAAUAUCACAAGGAAAAGAGACAAACUAGAAACCUGAAGGUACUAUUCCUACACGGAGUGACCUUAUACAAAGUGGAUCCCAGCAGCUCAAGGAUGCUACCAUAUACUGCUCAGAUCUCCCCUUCAGGACGCAGACCACCACCCCAACUACCAGGACUGUUGCCUUCUGAUAGAACAUCAUUCACAGCUGAGUUCCUCCCACAAAAUUGCUUUCAGAUGAAAGGAGCUGCUUUGGCAAGGGUUAUGUUCCCCUCCACAAGUCAGGCCUCAUCUAAUGACCGGACCAUAUAGGCUUACAAAGACCUAGCUCUUGCCUCAACUUGAGAUGGUUUGGAACACCUCUGGGGGUGUAUUCUAGAUCUAAGGCUCCCUGUUUUAUCAGCUGAAGCCUCUGGUUGUGCCUGCAUCUCAGUCACAUUCUCCUUCUGUCCAAUCCUCCUUCCUUCACUCCUUUAUAGGUGUUUUUGUGAUGCAUCCUCCCUGCUAACCCUCCCACACAGGAAUCUCAAUCUCAGAGGCCAUUUCCUUGGGGACACGGCAUUGGAGAGCAGUAUUUUGUGGUAUUUUCACAAUUGCUUGAUUUGUUAAUGUAAAAUUAACAGUAAUCUUUAAGAAGUGGAUUUUAAAUACAAAAAUAUGGAGACAUAACUGGCUAAACCAAUUCCCAAAGUAAUGCAAACAGACUCUUAUAACAAAACAUAGAUUUUAUUGUAUUACUUUUGGUUUUGGUUUCUGUUGUAAAAGCAAAGAGCCACAAGGUAGCUUUGAUUUCCACCAGCCAAUUUCUUAUGAAGUAGAGAGUUUCUUUUGAGAUGUAAUUCUUCUGUGUUUUUUUUUUCUAAUUUAGAUUUUACCCCCAAAUGCUAGCUAUAUAAAAUGAUAUUAGCACAAUAGAAGCAAGGAGAAAAGAAAACAAACCAAACUUUUGUUUAUUUCUAAAUACCCUAUAGGAAGUUGUAAAAAGAUUCAUGCAUAACAAUAGAAUGUAAAUUUAGGUAAUGAUUUGGAUCUUCUCCAAUUGCAGCCUCAGCCUUGAAAACAACAGAUUUCCUCAGAAAUUCAUUGUAGCUCAAACAUAAAAUUCUUGUUACACCAUCGCUAAUUGACAUUGCACAAGCAUAUGUAACGAGUUUUCCAAUAAAGAAAUAAAUACCUUUUGUGAACAGGGAGAAAAAAAGGCCAAUAUGGGAGAAUAUUUUCGUUAAAUGAAUCAAGAUAGGGAUUUGGAUGUUUUAAGUCUUUUCAUUUAUACUUGCAUUUAUAUCACUGAUCCGUAAAAAUUCCAAAUGAAAAAGUGGCAGCACUCUGUGACAGAGGCAUACUAGAGUAAUUAUGGGGAAAAAAAUCCAAAAACCCUGAGGUCCCCAUAUUUAAUUAGUAUAAAAGCAUUAGCCUUGCAAAUUCACAUAGUUUCCUUUCUUCUUUUGUUUUUGACUAUGGGGAAAAUAAUAACUAACAUAUAAUAUAGAUACAGGAUAAGUUCAAAAGCACCACUUCCUUAGCUUAUGUGAUUCACUCAAAUUGUUCUUUUAAACAAUUUCUUGAAAAUCUCCUAGUUUCUAGAAAAGAUUUCAGAUGGCUUAAAGAUACGAAAGCAAGAAAAAUAAGAGGGAAGGUAAGUAGAAAUAAAUCUGAACAAAGAACAAAAACAAAAUGAGAGAUGAGAAGCUAAACUGAGGUCCAUGAUUAGGGUAGCACACAAUAACAUGCUAAUACCAAGCACCAAGCAGUAAAUUUACUAGAGGACUGUAAAUUGGGCUGAAACUUACUAGCAGCCAGCAAAUAAGAGUGAAUGAUGAUAGGAAUUAGACUGACAAUCUUUACAAUGAGUAAAGAACCCAGUAGAUUAAAGUAAGCACAAUGAUCUUUGUUGUUGAUAUCUGAAAGAUAUAUCUCCUGAAUCGUUCCAAAGAUGCCACUAUAUUAGUUUAAAAAAUCUUUAAUUACAUUUUGUAUGAAAAUUGUUGAAGAAGCAAAAGUUUCCCAAGGCUGUUUCCAUAAUGUCCUUCCAUUUAAGCCAGUGAAACAGGGUUGAAAAGCAAGUCAGCAAGUAAGAUUUAAAUAAAGUUUACCCCAGAUACGUACAAUCUACUAUCAUUGAAGACUGCCAAGUUCUGUUCAAAAAAAUGUUUGGUGAAUGCUUGUACUUUAGCUCAGUAUUAGCUGCAUCUAAAACAAUAGUCUGCAAUGAAGCAAAUAUCCUGUCCAAUACUUUGAGCUGAGAAUAAAAAGAACAAAGUGAGAAAUAAUUAUUACCUAUUUCUCAUGUUUUCAUGCAAAGGAGCUUCUAUUAGAGCAAUGGUUCCCAAACUUUCUUUCUUUCUUUCUUUUUUUUUUUUUGAGACAGGGUUUCGUUCUGUUGCCUAGGAUGAAGUGCAGUGGCACUAUCUCAGCUCAGCGCAGCCACAACCUCCUGGGCUGCAGUGAUCCUCCUACCUUAGCCUGCUGAGUAGCUGAGACUACAGGCGUGUACAACCAUAUUCUGCUAAUUUUUCUAUGUUUUUGUAGAGAUGGGGUUUUGUCAUGUUUCCCAGGCUGGUCUCAAACUCCUGUGUUCAAGCCAUCCUCCUUCUUUGACCUCUCAAGGUGUUGGGAUUACAGGCAUGAGCCACUGUGCCCAGACUCAAACUUUAUCACAGGACAUCUUUACACUUUUACAUGUUUCUGAGGACAACAAAGAGCUUUUGUUUAUAUGAGUUAUAUCUACUGUAUAAGGAGCUGAGAAAUUUUAAAAAUGUUUACCUAUUUUGAUGGUUAAUAUUGAAUGUCAACUUGAUUGGACUGAUGGAUGCAAAGUACUGUUCUUGGGUGUGUCUGUGAGGGUGUUGCCAAAAGAGAGUAACAUUUGAGUCAGUGGACUGGGAGAGGCAGACCCCCCUCAAUCUGGGUGGACACCAAGUAGUCAACUGCCCCAUUGAGGUUAGGAUAAAAGCAGGCAGAGUAAUGCUGAAAGCCUUGACUGGCUAAGUCUCUGGCCUCCAUCUUUCUCCCAUGUUGGAUGCUUCCUGCUCCCAAACAUCGGACUCCAUGUUCUUCAGCUUUUGGACUCUUGGACUUACACCAGUGAUUUCCCAGGGGGCUCUCCAGCCUUCAGCCACAGACUGAAGGCUGCACUAUUGGCUUCCCUACUUUUGAGGUUUGGGUCCUCGGCCUGGCUUCCUGGCUCCUCAGCUUGCAGACAGCCUAGUGUGGGAUUUCAUGUUGUAAUCCUGUGAGCUGAUUCUCCUAAUAAACUGCCCCUCAUAUAUACGUCUAUCCUAUUAGUUCUGUCCCUUUAGAGAGCCCUAAUACACCUAUUAAUUCAUUUAAAGUAAAAAUAAUAUACUUAUUACAUGCUAUCAUAAAUAUCAUUUAUGAAAAAUAUUCUGAUUAUAUGUUACUAUAAAUGAUAUCAUUUUAUGAAAAAUAACUAUGUUGUUCUUACAAAAAUUAGCAAAAUGAGAUGCCCUAUUGUAAUUUCCACAAAUCUCUUUCAUGUUUGACUUAAUAAAAGACAGCAGGAUCUUCAAAUGUUUCUCCUUCACUGGGAUGUACUGUAUUGUUUUGAUUGAAGUACAGAAUGAGGAUCCAGACUCAUACAGGUAAGUGGUCAGAAAAAAGAGGGCCUCGCAGAGCCCAAAAAUGUUUCUGGGGAGGCUGCAGGGAUCC